rnacentral:lncRNA from 1 species
AAAUAAAAUAUAAUGGAAUACUAAAUAUUGGACGACCUGACAUGACAUGGAAACUUAUACAUGUGACAUACGUGCUUAUAAAACCAAAGUGAUAACUCAUACACUGAACAUAGGCCGAUAAGGCCAUAAGAUUUUCAUAUACAUGACAUAUGCCUACAAGCCUCUAAGAGUACAUAAAAUCAUAAAGGUUGGGACAGGGCCCCACCAUAUCAAUCAAUACAUAUCCAAAGCAUACUGACCAAAUAGGCAACUCCGGAGCAAGUGGAGUGCACCAACACCUCCGCUGAGCUGAUAGCCUACUAGGAGGAAUGUCAACCUAUAAAUUGGGACCUGCGGGCAUGAAACGCAGCGUCCCAGGCAAAAGGGACGUCAGUACAAAUAAAGUACCGAGUAUGUAAGGCAUGAAACAUAAACAAGAAUAGUAAUAUAAAGAGAGAUAGAGGAGAUACAACCUGUAACAUCUGCGUGCCUCUGUGGGCUACUGACAUGAAAUGCAUAAUACAUAUACACAUAAACUUUUAAAAACAUACGCGUCUGUAGGAAUCAUCAUCAUCAUAUCGUACCCGACCUCAAAGGGGACUCGGUAAAAAUGUACCCGGCCAUCAUAAGGCUCGGUAGAAUCGUACCCGGCCACGUGGAGCUCAGUAAAUCCAACUGAUCAGUGGUUACACAAUAGAUGUCGUACCCGGCCUACUAUAGUGCGGCUCGGUAGAGUAAAAUAGAUAUUAUAUAUAAUGCAUGCUAAACUCAUGGAAUCACGUUCUAAACCUUUUUGGAGUGACUUAAGGUCGUUGCACCUUCGAUUAACAUUAUGGACAUCAUACCAUCAAUAUGAUCUUCUAUAGGAUUCAAGGAUCAUACAUACUUGCUUAGAAUAACUUUAUAAGGAAAGAACAACAUGGGCAACCUUAGUUUCUAUGAGUAGAUCUGUUAUGAAAUAACGUAUUCAUUUCACUUUAGAUCAUGCCAAACGAAAGAGGGAAGUGCAUUAACAUACCUUAACCAUGGUGAGUCCUUAAUAUCUCUCAAGCAACUCUUCAAACAACUCAACUCAAUCUACCAUUGCAUAAGGAGAUUCAAAAUCAGUGUUGAAUAAAGGCUAAGUUUGCAACUUAAACUUGUAGCUCAUUUAUAUAAAUUCGGGCAGCAUCUCCCCUGUAACAAGAGCCUCCUCCAAUANNNNNNNNNNNNNNNNNNNNNNNNNNNNNNNNNNNNNNNNNNNNNNNNNNNNNNNNNNNNNNNNNNNNNNNNNNNNNNNNNNNNNNNNNNNNNNNNNNNNNNNNNNNNNNNNNNNNNNNNNNNNNNNNNNNNNNNNNNNNNNNNNNNNNNNNNNNNNNNNNNNNNNNNNNNNNNNNNNNNNNNNNNNNNNNNNAAUAACAAGACACCAUAAAAUAACAACAAGUCAUAACUAUUUUACGACGAGCGACAAGCUCCAAUUGGAAUUCGUAUAUCCCAUAUCAUCCUUUAUAGACUUUUUACUUUAAAUUAAUAGUAUUUUUAACAUGAUAAUGAGGUCAUUCAUCAAUAAUUCCAGCCUUAUACCAUAUAUCCACAACAAAGAAAAUAAUCCACAACUCCAAUUAUUCUUAAUUAACAACUUUAUUCACUAGUUCAUGUCUAGUUCAUCCAUUUAACUCAACCGAUGUCAAUAUAAUCUUAAGCACUUGUUGGAAAACAAUAUAAUAACCUCCUACAAGUCGAAAUCCAUGUUAUAGUUAGCUUACAACAGCCCAACACACCCCAAUCAAUUCAUACCAAAAAUAACGACUAUAGUAGUGUCCAAUACCCCGAAAAUAUUAUAAAGAAUGUCUAAUCCAUUAUUUCACCAAUAUGUGGUGUUUCUCCACACCGUUUAUCCUCCAAAAACUCCAUUAAAUAGCAGCAAAAUAUACAGCCCCAAAAACUACACGAAACAGCCCACAAAACAGUCCAUUACAAGUCAAAUAACUCGAACUCACGGCUUCCGAUCACCGUCCCGUGAGUUCUAAAUAUUAUGAAAUGAAUUAAUCAACCUUAAUUGAUAUUUAAGAUCUUGAAACCAGAAAUUAGGCAUUUUUAUUAACUUCAAAAUACCUUCCAAAACUCAAACUACAAAGAAAAAGAGAGGUUAUAUAGCAAUACUUACGUCGUGGGGAUCGUUCUUGUGUUAUUGCUUCGUAAUUUCGUGCCUCGGAUGAUAGUAUCGUUGAAAAUCCUUAUGGAGGACUUGAGGAUGAGUUUAGGGGUGUUAUAUGGUCGAGCUCUCUGGAAAACCAAAGUAAGAGACGAGAUAGAGAGAUAAACAUCCCUUUUUCUAAAAGUCAAAAAGGUGUCAUGUGCCACUCUCUCAUUGGCCCUUUUUCAAAAGCUUAUAUCAUUUUAUCCGGAUGUCGUAUGAACAAACGGUUAAGAGCGUUAGAAACUACAUUCCAAGACCUUCAAUUUGGUAUAUAAUAUGUCCCAAAAAGAUCUCAUAUAGCACACGGAAUAUAUUACUCAAAAAAACUCCAUUACAAGGCAAUUUCUUAGUCGAUUUUUCCGCAACUUAAAUCCGAUUUUUCUCAAACUUUAUACUUCAUAUUCAAACAUCAUAUAUAGUCAUAUAAUGUCUUUUAACUCGUUUAAAUCAUGAUUAAUAAGUCUUAUAUUCAUCUUAACUUGCGUAACACUUCGGCAAACCUUUCUUGUCCUUGUAGAAGGAUUUCAUCCUUUUUGAGUUUACAUUAGAUAAUCCUAUAAUGAUAGUAACAUCUGAAGUACGGGGUGUAACAACAUGUACCCUUAUAAACAUUUAUCCUUGAAUAUUAACUCUCAAAGGCUUCCAAAUAAAUAUGGGAUGUAACACCAUUAAAUCACUUUAUAUACUUUCCAAGAGGAUCUCAUUUCUGAACUUACAUCAACGGACUUACGACGUACUUUCACGUACAACAAUAUGGGUUGUAACAAGGGAUUUGAGUAGUUACAAACCAAAGGAGUAGAACAAGAAGAAGAGGGAGAAAUAGAUAAACUAGGAGGCAUUUUCAUGAAAACCUCUUCAUCAAGAUCCCCAUGUAAAAAGGCAUUAUUAACAUCAAGCUGGAACAAGGGGCAGUGUUGUUUGAUAGCCACAACAAUGAGGGUUUUCACAGUAGACAUUUUGACAACAGGAGAAAAGGUUUCAUAAAAAUCAACCCCUUCAACCUGAGUAUCAUCUCUAACUACUAACCUGGCCUUAUACCUCUCUAGAGUCCCAUUAACAUUAUAUUUUUACUUUCUAUACCCAUUUACAGCCUAUAAGCUUUUUACCAGGGGUAACUCAACAAUAUCCCAAGUUCUAUUAGCCUCCAAAGCCUCAAACUCCUUUCUCAUAGCCUCCUGCCACUCAGGGACAGCAACAACCUGUGAGUAAGUGUAAGGCUCAGGAAUAUGGAGCUGUGAAGUGGUUGCAUUGAAUGAUACAGACUCAGAGCUAGAAGAAACGGGGGCAGAAAGAGAAGUAGGAAGCAUUGAACAUACAAAGUCCCAAAGAUAGGCAGGGACAUUAUGAGCCUACUAGAUCUUCUAAGAGGAGGAUGAUCAGAUGAUGGAGUAGAAGAAAUAUGAGCAGGAGAGGAUAAAGGAGAAGUUGAAACAUCAGAAGAAAGAUCUGGAGUGAAAAUAGAAGGGGAAGGCAUAGGAAUAGAAGGAGAUAGAGAGGAAGUUGAAUCAGGAGAAAUAUGGGCAGGAAGAAUAGGCGGGGAAGAAUGACCAGGAAUAGAAGUAGGUAUAGAAGAUGUUGAAUCAUCAGAAAAGUGACCAGGAGAGAGAGGAGAAGGCAAGACAAGGGAUGGUGAAGGAGAAGGUUUAAGAAAUGGAAAAAUGUGUUCAUGGAAAAUUACAUCUCUGGAGACAAAACAAGAUUGAGUGGUGAGAUUGUAAAGUUUAUAACCCUUUUUGGCAAAAGGGUAGCCCAGAAAAACACAUGGGAUAGACCUGGGAUGAAAUUUAUCUCUAUAGAUUUUAGGCAUAGUGGAAUAGCAAAGGCAACCAAAAGAUCUAAGAUGGGAAUAUGUGGGGGCCUUGCCAAAAAGUAGUUCAUAAGGACUCUUGUUUUUGAGAAGGGGGGAAGGGAAUCUGUUUAUCAAAUAGGUGGCAGUAAGGAGACAGUCUCCCCAGAAUUUUAUAGGAAGAUAAGAUUGAAAUAAAAGAGCCCUAGUAGUUUCUGGCAAGUGUCUAUGUUUCCUCUUUACCACACCAUUUUGUUGUGGAAUGUGUGGGCAAGAGGUUUGAUGAAUAAUUCCCUUUUCAGAAAAGAAAAGGGACCCAGAAGAAGAAGAACCUAACUCUAAAGCAUUGUCACUCCUCACAGUCUGGACUCUAGUUUGAAAUUGUAUUUCAACCAUGGAAAUGAAGGCCUUCAAUAGGUCAAAAACAUUGCUUUUUGCCCCAUUAAGUGUGUCCAGGUAGCCCUAGUGUAGUCAUCUACUAUAGUAAGGAAAUACUUAGCACCAGAGUGAGUAGGAGUGGAGUAAGGACCCCAAGUAUCUAUGUGAACAAGCUGAAAGAAAUGAGUGGACUGAAUAGAACUAUCAUGAAAAGGAAGCCUAGUUUGUCUUGCUAAGGGGCAAAUAGGGCAUAUGAAGGACUGUUUAGAAGACAAAUCACUAAUAAUACCAGAAAUAAACUUCAUUUUGGAAAAUGUUAUAUGUCCAAGUCUAUAAUGCCAAACAACAUCAGAAUUAUUCACUUUAUUUGAAGCAACCAUGGUAUUUACAGAUGAAUCGUCAUUGACAUCAGUAGUAGAGACUACAGGUAAAGAAGAAACAGGCAAAGAAGAAACAACUGAAGAACAAUAGUUGACAUGAACAGGGUCAAUAGGUGAAGUCACAUGCUGAAAUAGCUUGUAAAGUCCAGUGUCCAGUCUACCAAGCACCACUGGCUUCUUCAUUGAAGGACCCUGGAAUGUGCAAGCAGACUUGGUAAACUGAACAACAUCAUCACAAUGAUUUAAAAGUUUUUGAACAGAUAUGAGAUUAUGAUUGAAACUGGGAAUGUAAAGAAUAUUAUGAAGGAUUAAAUUAGGGAAUAAAGCUAAAGAGCCAACAUUGGUGACUUUUACUUUAUACUCAUUUGGGAGAGACAUAAUAUAAGGAAUGGGAAGAGUGAUUAUAUCAAAAAGUAAACUUUUAAUGGAAGUCAUAUGAUCAGUAGCUCCGGAGUCUAUUAUCCAAACAAUGUCAUUCACACUAGAUAACAUACAAGUUCCAUAAGAGACACCCUCAUAAGGCAUGAGCUUACUAGCAAAGUUAGCAGAAGCAAAGAGAGGUGGAAAGUGUGGGGAAGCAUAAAUUUGGGAUUGUUGUAAUAAGGUCAUCAGCUGGGAGUAUUGAUCCCUAGUGAGGCUAGGUAUCACAGAAGACUCCUCAUGCUUAGCUGGACCAACAGAACUACCAGGCGCAGAAAAAACACCAGAAGAGUCAAGUUCAACAUGUGCAGCAGAUCUGCGAGGAGGAGGUCCUUUGCUAAACUUGAAAUUAGAAGGAUACCCAUGCAACUUAUAGCAUUUAUCUAUUGAGUGACCAGGCUUUUUGCAGUAUUUGUAGAUAAGAGAAUUCCUGGUGCCCUCAAAAGAAACCUUGGAGGGAAAUGAGGGCUUAGAAAUCCUAGCAUGAAAUGAAGCAGAUUGAGAUGAGAAUUGAGAGGUAGAAGACACUUGUCUUUGUUUUUCAUCAGAUAAUAUAAUACUGUACACAUUUCCAACAGAUGGAAGUGGCUUCAUCAUUAGAAUAUUGUUGCGAGUCUGCAUAUAGGUAUCAUUCAUAUCCAUAAGGAACUGAUAAACCUUCUGCUCUUCAUCCUCAGCAGCUUUCCCCCACAAGUACAAACUCUAACCUUAUAAGAUACUAUCUCAUCCCAGAGUUAUUUGAUUUUGUUGAAAUAAUAAGCUAUGUCUAAAGACCCUUGGGAAAUAUGAGCUAAUUCUUUCUUUAGUUCAAAGACUCUAGCCCCAUCACCCUUACCAUAUCUCUCUUCCAAUUCACACCAAAUUUUCUUGGCAGACUUAGAAUAUUCUAUGCUACGAGAUAUUUCUUUUGACAAAGAGUUGAUCAACCAUGAAACCACAAGAUCAUUACAUCUUUGCCACUGGCGUGCCAGAGGGGACCCAGGAAGUGGCUAUGUAGAGGAACCACUAAUAAAAUCAAGCUUAUUCCGAAUGGAGAGAGCAACUAAAAUGUUUCUCCUCCAGCUGCCAUAGCAGGUGCCAUCAAACGGACUAGAAACCAAAGAGGUUCCUAGUACAUCUGAUGGAUGCACAUAUAGAGGAUGACAAGGAUGCGUAAAAUCAUCCUCAUGAAACACAGUACGAGGUGCAAUGGAUGAAGAGGAAGGCGUAAUGACAGGAUUAUCAUUCGUCAUCGAGAGAAUAUAGAACAACAAACACAAUAGCCAACAAAGUUAUGAAAUAUGAAGAAGAAACUAAUUUACCUCCCUCUUUUGCAACCGAAAAGAGAACAACCUUGUGAAAAGAAGAAGAAACUUCCGGCGGCGCAAAAAUUGAUGAAGAAACCCUAGCUCGAAUUAGACGAACAAAUCAGUCAACUCCAGUCAAACUCCAGUCAAUACAUCCAUCGAAGACAAAGAUCCAGUGAAAAUAAGCAAAAUAUAUCCCGAAAUUUUCCAGCUAAUUCGGCCAAAACCCUAAUCCAGCAUAAAUGCAACGAAAAUCCAAAAGUUGACGAAAACUGAGAUGGUUAACAUAGAUCGGAAGCAAACGAAGUGAUCUACCAGGAUCUACGCUCUGAUACCAUAUUAGAUGUUGAGAAUCUAGAGAAGAAAUGAAGAUUGGAGAAUGGCAUGUUGCAUUUGAGAGAAGCUUCGAGAAAGAGAAGAAAGG